CGUCAACACCUUCCUUUCCUUUCUUCUUUCCUUCCUUUCCUUUCCUUUAAUUUCCUUCCUCUGUGAUAAGUCUCUCUUUUAAGGCCAUUUGCGAGGAUUCAUCACGAGUGGAGAAGUCGAUUCCGCCGUUUGCACAGCAAGAUCAACAGCAAUUUAUGUUCCGCUGCUCUGCCGCCGUUGACGUUCCUCCAUUUCUCUGCUUGGUGCCUUUGCCGCUGUCCCUCACUCUUCCAAAGGGUUUCAAAAAAUGGAAUGAAGGAUUCUGUAAAUUAUCAGAUCAUUU